AUGGCGCCCGCGGCGGCGCUGCUGCUGGCGUGCGCCGUCGCCGCGCUGGCAUGCCUGGCACUCGCGGACCCGCCGGCGAGCGAGCAGACGGCGCUGCUGGCCUUCCUCGCGGCCGUGCCGCACGAGCGCAAGCUCGGGUGGAGCGCCUCCACGCCGGCCUGCGCCUGGGUCGGGGUCACCUGCGACGCCGCCAACUCCACCGUCGUCAAGCUGCGCCUACCCGGGAUCGGGCUCGUCGGCCCCAUCCCGCCGGGGACCCUCGGGCGGCUAGCCAACCUCCAGGUGCUGUCCCUCCGCGCCAACCGCGUGUCCGGCACCAUCCCCGACGACCUCCUCCGCCUCUCCGCCCUCCGGUCCCUCUUCCUGCAGGACAACGCCGUCUCCGGCGCCAUCCCGCCGGGGGUCUCCGGGCUGGCCGCGCUCGAGCGGCUCGUGCUCUCCCACAACAAUUUGUCGGGCCCCAUCCCCUUCGCGCUCGGCGGCCUCGCGGCGCUGCGCGCGCUGAGGCUCGACGGCAACCGGCUGUCCGGCAAGAUCCCCAGCAUCGCCAACCCGGGGCUCAGGGCGUUCAACGUUUCGAACAACAUGCUCAACGGCUCCAUCCCGCGGGCGCUGUCGCGCUUCCCCGCCGACGCCUUCGCCGGGAACCUCCAGCUGUGCGGCACCCCGCUGCCCCCCUGCAGCCCCUUCUUCCCGUCCCCGGCGCCGGCGCCGGGGAUGGGCCCGAGCGACGGCGCGCCGGGGAGGAAGAAGAAGAAGCUGUCCACCGCGGCGAUCGUCGGCAUCAUCGUGGCCGCCGUGGCCGUCGCGCUGCUCCUGCUUCUUCUGGCCAUCGUGUUCUGCUGCAAGAAGAGGGCCCGGCGAGGCGCGCGCACGGAGGGACCGAAGGGCACGGCCGCGGCGGCGGGGCAGACAGGCACAACCAGACCGCCGGCGGCGUCCGGCGAAGGCACGGGCACCGCGUCCUCGCCAAAGGACGACGCGGGCACCUCCGGGGCGGUGGCCGCGGCGGGCGGCGGGACGGGGGAAACGAGCCGGCUGGUGUUCGUGGGGAAGAGCGCGGGGUACAGCUUCGACCUGGAGGACCUGCUGCGGGCGUCGGCGGAGGUGCUGGGGAAGGGGAGCGCGGGGACGUCGUACAAGGCGGUGCUGGAGGAGGGGACGACGGUGGUGGUGAAGCGGCUCAAGGAGGUGGCGGUGGCGCGGCGCGAGUUCGAGGCGCACAUGGAGGCCGUCGGCGGCGUGGAGCACCGCAACCUGCUCCCCGUCCGCGCAUACUACUUCUCCAAGGACGAGAAGCUGCUCGUCUACGACUACCUCCCCGCCGGCAGCCUCUCCGCCAUGCUCCACGGGAGCCGGGGCUCGGGCCGGACGCCCAUGGACUGGGACGCGCGCAUGCGCUCGGCGCUGUCGGCCUCCCGCGGCCUCGCGCACCUCCACUCGGAGCACAGGCUCGCGCACGGCAACGUCAAGUCCUCCAACGUGCUGCUCCGGCCGGACCUCGACGCCGCCGCGCUCUCCGACUUCUCCCUCCACCCCAUCUACGCGCCGACGUCCGUCCGCGCGGGCGCCGGCGGGUACCGCGCCCCGGAGGUGGUGGACACGCGGCGGCCGACGCUCAAGGCGGACGUCUACUCCCUUGGCGUGCUCCUGCUGGAGCUCCUCACCGGCAAGUCCCCGACGCACGCGUCCCUGCAGGAGGGCGACGGCGGCACGCUGGACCUGCCGCGCUGGGUGCAGUCGGUGGUGCGCGAGGAGUGGACCGCCGAGGUGUUCGACGUCGAGCUCGUGCGCCUCGGCGCCAGCGCCGAGGAGGAGAUGGUCGCGCUGCUGCAGGUGGCCAUGGCCUGCGUCGCCACCGUGCCCGACGCGCGCCCGGACGCGCGGGACGUCGUCAGGAUGAUCGAGGAGAUCGGGGCCGGCCACGGGCAGACCACCACGGAGGAGAGCGCGCGGGCGACCACCUCCGAGGAGGAGCGCUCCAGGGGCACGCCGCCGGCCGACCCGACGCCGUAG
rnacentral:rRNA from 1 species